GUGAGGAAUAUUGGACAAUGGGCGAGAGCCUGAUCCAGCCAUGCCGCGUGCAGGAAGACGGCCCUAUGGGUUGUAAACUGCUUUUACAGAGGAAGAACCCUCCUUACGUGUAAGGAGCUGACGGUACUCUAUGAAUAAGGAUCGGCUAACUCCGUGCCAGCAGCCGCGGUAAUACGGAGGAUCCAAGCGUUAUCCGGAAUCAUUGGGUUUAAAGGGUCCGUAGGCGGGUCUAUAAGUCAGUGGUGAAAGUCUGCAGCUUAACUGUAGAACUGCCAUUGAUACUGUAGACCUUGAAUUAGUAUGAAGUGGUUAGAAUGUGUAGUGUAGCGGUGAAAUGCAUAGAUAUUACACAGAAUACCGAUUGCGAAGGCAGAUCACUAAUACUAUAUUGACGCUGAUGGACGAAAGCGUAGGUAGCGAACAGG
rnacentral:rRNA from 1 species